GACGAACGCUGGCGGCGUGCUUAACACAUGUAAGUCGAACGGAAAGGCCCUGCUUUUGUGGGGUGCUCGAGUGGCGAACGGGUGAGUAACACGUGAGUAACCUGCCCUGGACUUUGGGAUAACUUCAGGAAACUGGGGCUAAUACCGGAUAGGAGCUCCUGCUGAAUGGUGGGGGUUGGAAAGUUUCGGCGGUUGGGGAUGGACUCGCGGCUUAUCAGCUUGUUGGUGGGGUAGUGGCUUACCAAGGCUUUGACGGGUAGCCGGCCUGAGAGGGUGACCGGCCACAUUGGGACUGAGAUACGGCCCAGACUCCUACGGGAGGCAGCAGUGGGGAAUAUUGCCCAAUGGGCGGAAGCCUGAUGCAGCAACGCCGCGUGCGGGAUGACGGCCUUCGGGUUGUAAACCGCUUUCGCCUGUGACGAAGCGUGAGUGACGGUAAUGGGUAAAGAAGCACCGGCUAACUACGUG
rnacentral:rRNA from 1 species